UAUAUAAGGGCAAGGAAAAGGCGAAAGAAAUCAGUCGAGUGAGCAUUUCCGAUAUAGCAAAAGCAACUGAAGUGCACCAUUUGUCACCAAUUGCAUUGCAUUCUUCGUCGAAUUGCUAGUUUAAAUCAUGGCAAACUAUGGCGUCGUGCUGCAAUUAUGACUUGUGUGUUGUAUCGUUGAUGGUUGGGUCGGCCACUGGUGUACCGAUGUCUCCUUGGUAUGGUGGCUAACAAAUCGAAACGUCGCCACCUUACUACACAACAUACGACACGACCAGUUGCUACACCGAGGUCCCCAAGUACUUCACCAAGGCUCCAGAUUAUUAUACAACAACUUAUGCUGCCCUGAGCUACUACACCGAAUCCCCGCAGUAUUAUUCUUACCCGAGCUACACUACCAAAGGGUCGAUUACUACACCGAUGUUCCGAAGUACUACACCAUGGCACCGGAGUACUGCAAAACUGCAUAUCAUGGAGAGAAAAGGCAAAAGAAAUCAGUCGAGUGGUCAUCUCCGACACGGCAACAGCAACUGCAGUGCCAAGUCCCAGUAUUACACCACAACUUAUGUUGCCCCGAGACUACACCAAA
rnacentral:misc_RNA from 1 species